rnacentral:rRNA from 1 species
UACGGAGGGUGCAAGCGUUAUCCGGAUUUACUGGGUUUAAAGGGUGCGCAGGCGGAUAUGUAAGUCAGUGGUGAAAUCUUUGGGCUUAACCCGAAAAUUGCCAUUGAUACUAUAUAUCUUGAAUGCUGUGGAGGUAAGCGGAAUAUGUCAUGUAGCGGUGAAAUGCGUAGAUAUCUGGAGGAAUACCGGUGGCGAAGGCGGCAUCCUGGACCGGCAUUGACGCUGAGUGAGCGAAAGCUAGGGGAGCAAACGGG